AGCAGCCGCGGUAAUUCCAGCUCCAAUAGCGUAUAUUAAAGUUGUUGCAGUUAAAAAGCUCGUAGUUGAAUUUCGGGGUCAGUAGGUUGGUCGUGCCUAUGGUAUGUACUGGCUUUACUGAUUCCUCCUUCUUGAAGAACUGUAAUGUCAUUAAUUUGGUGUUGCAGGGAAACAGGACUGUUACUUUGAAAAAAUUAGAGUGUUUAAAGCAGGCUAACGCUUGAAUACAUUAGCAUGGAAUAAUGAAAUAGGACGUUAAUCCUAUUUUGUUGGUUUCUAGGAUCGACGUAAUGAUUAAUAGGGAUAGUUGGGGGCAUUAGUAUUCAAUUGUCAGAGGUGAAAUUCUUGGAUUUAUUGAAGACUAACUACUGCGAAAGCAUUUGCCAAGGAUGUUUUCAUUAAUCAAGAACGAAAGUUAGGGGAUCGAAGACGAUCAGAUACCGUCGUAGUCUUAACCAUAAACUAUGCCGACUAGGGAUCGGAUGAUGUUAAUUCUUUAAUGACUCA
rnacentral:rRNA from 1 species